rnacentral:misc_RNA from 1 species
AAAGGAUCUUCACUCGACUACAUUUGCAAUAAGCUAAGGGCAUAUGAUGUAUGCUCUAGCUUGAGAAGGAAUACCAAGAUAACUGUGUAGAAUAUCGUCCAUAAAUUAGGGCUGAAAGUAUGGAGUAAUUUUAGUACAGUAGUUUAAGAGUAAUAAAUGUACCUCUCCUUUUUCCUUGUAAACAUAGUAGCAUAUAAAUCCCCCCUCUGUUAAAGGAAAUACACAUGCUUUUCUAUUCAUCUUCAUCUUCAUCUUCCUUCUUCUAUUUCUAGAAUGAC